UAGAUACAGUCAGGGUGACAAGCCCCACUGUAGUCGGGAGGCAGGGCACUGUCUGGAAAACUGUCAAGACGGCUGGUGGGGAGACUGGUGUGAGAGGAAGUGCAGUGGUGGAUGUGAAGACAACUCCUGCUACUUCUGGGACGGGUCGUGUGCUAGAGGAUGCAGGGAUGGUUGGGCCGGUGACAGUUGUGACACCAGGUGUCCAGGGGGGUGUCAUGGUGACACAUGUGAGAGGUACGGCAGCCAUAACUGCACACAAGGAUGUAAACCCGGUGUUCACGGACAUCACUGUGACAAGCAGUGUAAUAGACACUGUAGACAUCAGGACUGUUUCUAUGACCACGGUAUGAAGUCUACAGUCUGCAGACAGGGCUGUGUGGAUGGCUGGAUGUCCCUCGACUGCAAGAUGAGGUGUCCUGGUAACUGUGAGGCAUGUUCUCAAGAGACUGGGGAAUGAACCAGAUGCAAUCCAGGCUACUGGGGAUCUGACUGCACUGGACCAUGUAGUGACACGUGUUUAAAUAGGACAUGCGGACCAGAUGGUCGCUGCAGUAGAUGUCAGCUCGGUUACCAUGGGGACAGGUGUGGAACAUAUUGUGAUGCUGACUGUAUCGGGUGCCUGGAGGCCAAGGGAGGAUGUAGAUGUAGGAGGGUGUGCACUCAAUCCUGUCUGCAUCACAAGCUACCCGACACGACAUGUCUCCAUGUAACUCAGAAGGAAAGUCACACAGAUGCCAACAUCCACGAAAUGACAUCGAGGAAUGGAUCCAGCUUGUGUAGAUUUACCUUAUCACCCUUCAUAUAUCUAGCCAUCGUGUUGACGUUGUCACCCACCUCUGAUGUUAUCUGUUCAUUCAUUGCACUGUAAAUAUUUAUAUGUCAUUGGUGCUGUUGUGUAUGGAAGGACUACUGUUAUAUGACGUGUGUUUCCUAAUCUGUAGCUCAUCAAACAAUUUGAACCUAUUACACUCGCAGCAUAAGUUAACAAUACAACCAUAUAAAUGUGACAAAGAUAUGAACAUGGAGAAAUUAUACCCAGAUAAAUUAGAUUUUCUUAUUGAUAAUCACUGCCAUUAUUACUUUCCUUCACAGUAUUUAUUGUUUUGUACUAAACGUUUUAAUUGUU